CACGUAGGGGGCAAGCGUUGUCCGGAUUUAUUGGGCGUAAAGAGCUCGUAGGCGGCUCAGUAAGUCAGGUGUGAAACCUCCAGGCUCAACCUGGAGACGCCACCUGAUACUGCUGUGGCUAGAGUCCGGUAGGGGAGCGUGGAAUUCCUGGUGUAGCGGUAGAAUGCGCAGAUAUACAGGAGGAACACCGGGUGGCGAAGGCGGCGUAUCUGGACAGAGUCUGACGCUGAAGGCGCGGAAAGCUAGGGGAGCAAACAGG
rnacentral:rRNA from 1 species